UGGUAGAUGCACCCUGAUAACUCACUCCCCUAGUUGGCGAAAGCCUCUAGGGGUUUUUGUU
rnacentral:sRNA from 1 species